AAGGAAGCAAAAUAACUUCUCUAAAGUCCAUUUUUGAACCAGUUUGAUGAGCAUCUGGGAUCCUAAAUUCCUUGGGACUUGGAACUAAAUUUCCUUCAGGGCAACUUGUGACAGUUUCCGAACAAACAGAUGAAGGAGCUAUUUUACACCCCUUUUGCAGAAGACAAGAUUAAAGCAUCAAAGAAAUGAAGAGAAGUAAAUUGCCAAAGUGCUCUUCCCAGAGACUCUACUGGCUGCCAUGGUUCCAGACAGGGGAGCUCAACAUGUUAGCAGACAGACUACCAAGACACGAAAGGAGGCAGGAAUCAAAUAAAAGGAAGAGGCAGGAGCCACAGGGGUUAACGUGGUGCUCCAUCAGCACUCUGAGUACAAAUGAUCAAGGUAGAGCCAGAGAACCCGAGUUCAAAUCUUGCCUUCGUCACUUACAACCUCAAUGACCUUGGGCAAACUACCUAACCUUACCCGAGUCUCUGACUCCUCACCUGUAAGAUGAGAAGGAUGGAUGAGCUGGCAUCUAAGAUCUCUUCCAGCUGUAGGUGAAUGAUCUUAUGAUUGACUCGGCCAUGUGGCCCAUCAAUCAGUCAACGAGGAUUAACAACCAGAUGUGCACAUCAUCGGGGAUAGUUACUCUUUACCGUUAGUUUGCUUAAUUGUUUUUAAGAAGUAUGCUUAAUAGAGAAACGCAGAAGAAAACAACUGCUUGAUCACAU